rnacentral:lncRNA from 1 species
GAAAAAAUAGGCGCAAGGAAAACAGCUGCUUGACUUGGCAAACAAGACGAACUGGCAAACAAGACGAACUGGCAAACAAGACGAACUGGCAAACAAGACGAACUGGCAAACAAGACGAACUGGCAAACAAGACGAACUGGCACAGAGAGACAGGAAUCACAGGGGAUAAUAUAUACACAGGGGAUAAUAAGCGACACCUGGAAGGGGUGGAGACAAUCACAAGGACAGUCCUAGUGCUCUGUGGGGUUUAAAAUGAACAGCACCCCAGAACCAGCUGGCUGAGGUGACUCUUCUCUAUAGGACCUGAGCCCUAGGACCAUGCCUCAGGACUACCUGGCCUGAUGACUCCUUGCUCUACCCAGUCCACCUGGCCGUGCUGCUGCUCCAGUUUCAACUGUUCUGCCUGCGGCUAUGGAACCCUGACCUGUUCACCGGACGUGAUGCCUGUACCAGACCUGCUGUUUUCAACUCUCUAGAGACAGCAGGAGCGGUAGAGAUACUCUGAAUGAUCGGCUAUGAAAAGCCAACUGACAUUUACUCCUGAGGUGCUGAUCUGUUGCACCCUCGACAACCACUGUGAUUAUUAUUAUUUGACCCUGCUGGUCAUCUAUGAACAUUUGAACAUCUUGGCCAUGUUCUGUUAUAAUCUCCACCCGGCACAGCCAGAAGAGGACUGGCCACCCCUCAUAGCCUGGUUCCUCUCUAGGUUUCUUCCUAGGUUCUGGCCUUUCUACUGAGUGUUUCCUAGCCACCGUGAUUCUUUCUGUACAGCACUUUGAGAUAUCAGCUGAUGUAAGAAGGGCUUUAUCAAUACAUUUGAUUUGAUCUGAUACUGUCUGGUCAUAAAGAGUAUGACAUUAUUGAUGCCCGUAGCAUGGACUGCAAGGGAAGCCAAUGAGCAUUGGGCCUCGAUAGAUAGAAAAGUAAAUAAUAAUAGCCAAUCAGCGUUGAGCUCAACUGUGAAUGGUCGUGGCACACACCACAUUUUUUUCAAGGGAAUCCAGUUUGGAUUUGGCUUCUCUUCUAUCACAUCGCAUCAAGAGAAAUAUGUCAAUGACAUAAACAACAUGAAUUGUUGCAUCUCAUUGUGUUGUUGUCCUCCGGUGGCUAGCUUCAUUUACAUUUUACAUUUUUUUGUCAUUUAGCAGACGCUCUUAUCCAGAGCGACUUACAGUAGUGAAUGCAUACAUACAUUUCAUGCAUUUUCUUUUUUAAUUGAAUUUGUUUUAUUUUACAUUUUUCUCCGUACUGGCCCCCCGUGGGAAUUGAACCCACAACCCUGGUGUUGCAAACACCAUGCUCUACCAAAUGAGCCACAGGGAAGGCCACCUAGCUAGUUAAAAUUGUCCCUUUA